rnacentral:rRNA from 1 species
UACGUAGGGGGCAAGCGUUGUCCGGAUUUAUUGGGCGUAAAGAGCGUGUAGGCGGCCAGAUAGGUCUGUUGUGAAAACUCGAGGCUCAACCUCGAGACGCCGAUGGAAACCAUUUGGCUAGAGUCCGGAAGAGGAGAGUGGAAUUCCUGGUGUAGCGGUGAAAUGCGCAGAUAUCAGGAGGAACACCGGUGGUGUAGACGGCUCUCUGGACCGUAACUGACGCUGAGACACGAAAGCGUGGGUAGCAAACAGG